AUUAUAUUGGCAGAUUAGUGCAUUAAAUUUAGGUUUUAAUUAAGUAAAUUUUAUAUUUAUAUAUAAUA
rnacentral:tRNA from 1 species